GGCCUCUAGUGCAGAUCUUGGUGGUAGUAGCAAAUACUCAAAUGAGAACUUUGAGGACUGAAGUGGGGAAAGGUUCCGUGUGAACAGCAGUUGGACACGGGUUAGUCGAUCCUAAGCCAUAGGGAAACUCCGUUUUAAAGUGCGCUCUCGGGCGCCGCCUGGCGAAAGGGAAACCGGUUAAUAUUCCGGUACCUCGAUGUGGAUUAUCCGCGGCAACGCAACUGAAGGUGGAGACGUCGGCGGGGGCCCCGGGAAGAGUUCUCUUUUCUUCUUAACUGUCUAUCACCCUGAAAUCGGUUUGUCCGGAGCUAGGGUUUAACGGCCGGUAGAGCCCAACACCUUUGUUGGGUCCGGUGCGCUCCCGACGACCCUUGAAAAUUCGCUGGAAGGAAUAGUUUUCACGCCAGGUCGUACUCAUAACCGCAGCAGG
rnacentral:rRNA from 1 species